rnacentral:misc_RNA from 1 species
GAUGAGGAACGCAGCGAAAUGCGAUAAGUAAUGUGAAUUGCAGAAUUCAGUGAAUCAUCGAAUCUUUGAACGCACAUUGCGCCCCCUGGUAUUCCGGGGGGCAUGCCUGUCCGAGCGUCAUUACAACCCUCAAGCUCAGCUUGGUAUUGGGCCCCGCCGACCCGGCGGGCCCUAAAGUCAGUGGCGGUGCCGUCCGGCUCCGAGCGUAGUAAUUCUUCUCGCUCUGGAGGUCCGGUCGUGUGCUCGCCAGCAACCCCCAAUUUUUUUCAGGUUGACCUCGGAUCAGGUAGGGAUACCCGCUGAACUUAAGCAUAUCAAUAAGCGGAGGA